GAGGGAGACUGCCGAGCUAGAGGGUGGGAGAGGUCAGCGGUAUUCCUGGGGUAGGGGCGAAAUCCUUUGAUCCCAGGAGGACCACCAGUGGCGAAGGCUGCUGACUAGAACACGCCUGACGGUGAGGGACGAAAGCUGGGGGAGCGAAUCGGAUUAGAUACCCGAGUAGUCCCAGCCGUAAACGAUGCAGGCUAGGUGUUGGGGCGGCCACGGGCCGCCUCAGUGCCACAGGGAAGCCAUUAAGCCUGCCGCCUGGGGAGUACGGCCGCAAGGCUGAAACUUAAAGGAAUUGGCGGGGGAGCACCACCAGGCGUGAAGCCUGCGGUUUAAUUGGAGUCAACGCCGGGAACCUUACCGGGAGCGACAGCAGGGUGAAGGCCAGGCUGAAGGUCUUGCCGGACGAGCUGAGAGGAGGUGCAUGGCCGUCGCCAGUUCGUGCCGUGAGGUGUCCUCUUAAGUGAGGUAACGAACGAGACCCGCGCCCCUUGUUGCCACCAAAUCCUAAAGGGAUGUUGGGCACUCUUGGGGGACCGCUGCCGACAAGGCAGAGGAAGGUGCGGGCAACGGCAG
rnacentral:rRNA from 1 species